AGGUCAUUUCAAAGAGGGCUUGUAGGUCUGUGAAACCAAGAGCUCUUAACGCUGUGACCAAAGAUUUAAGUUCUCUUGUAGGGUGAUGCCAUAGCUCCCAGUGGUGCUAUGUUUCCCUGAGGAGAUACAAGA
rnacentral:snoRNA from 1 species